AAUAAGUUUGAUUCUUGCUUGUAGAUUUAAAUUUUAAAUUUUAUUAUAUGUAAAGUUUUCUUUUUUAUUCUAAAAGAUUUUUUUUCAGUGUUUAGUUUUGGUAAUUUAGUUGAAGCUAAAAUCAGGAUUUUAAUUUUUAAUUGACUAAAGUUGUGCCAGCCGUCGCGGUUAUACAAUUGAUUAAAUUAAAUCUUUUUGGUUUUAAUAUUAAUUUUUAUUAUUUUUAAUUAAAAUUUAUAUAUUAAGGUGAAAUUUUUUAUAUAAUAAUUUGUUAAUGGUUUAAUAUUUAUAUAUGAAAAUCAUGAAAAAACUAGGAUUAGAUACCCUAUUAUUUUGAUUGUAAAUAAUCUUAUUAUUAAUAGUUAUUUUCUUUAAAUUAAAAGAAUUUGGCGGUUAUUUAAUCUUUCUAGAGGAACCUGUCCUAUAAUUGAUAAUCCACGAUUGAUUUUACUUUGGUUUAUGUUUAUAUAUCGCUGUCAUUGAAUGUUUUAUGAGAAUAUUUUCUUAAAUCUUUAUUAGUUUAAUGUUAGGUCAAGAUGUAGCUGUAUCAAAGAAGAGAUGGGUUACAUUUAAUUUAUUAAUGGAUAAUUGUUUGUAAUUUCAAUUUAAAAUUGGAUUUAGUUGUAAUUUUUAUAAAAUAGUAAUUUUGAUUUUAGUUCUAAAUAAUGUACAUAUCGCCCGUCACUCCCAUUAUUGAGUUGGGAUAAGUCGUAACAAAGUAGGCCUACUGGAAGGUGGGCCUGGAUUGUU
rnacentral:ncRNA from 1 species